rnacentral:rRNA from 1 species
AGGACGAACGCUGGCGGCGUGCUUAACACAUGCAAGUCGAGCGGAAAGGCCCUUCGGGGUACUCGAGCGGCGAACGGGUGAGUAACACGUGAGCAACCUGCCCUUGGCUCUGGGAUAGCCUCCGGGAAAACGGGGAUUAAUACCGGACAUUCACUUUUCUCCUGCAUGGGUGAUGGUGGUAAAGUUUUUCGGCCAGGGAGGGGCUCGCGGCCUAUCAGCUUGUUGGCGGGGUAACGGCCCACCAAGGCGACG